UUAAUAGAAAAGUAUUACAUAAUUUCAUUUAUUUAGCUUAUUAGUGUACAAAUAUACCUAAAUAUGCAGUUGUACAGAUAAAAAUGUACACUCAUGUUUUGCAUGUACAUUUGAUCAUGUUUUGCGUGAUUGAAUUCUUUUUUCCAUCAUCUAUAGAACAAAUUAUUGACCAAUAUUGUUAUUAAAAGAAAAAAGAAUGAUGAGACCAUUCCUAACUAUUUUCCUAACUUUGAAUCUAAACCAUUUCCUCUCUUAUAACCUAUUAAGAUUCUAAGAUGUACUAAAAUGCCAAUACAUCAUAUUUUAAUAUUUCUAGGUAAUAAACCCACUCAUAUUCGCUUGUUGCUGUAAUAAUUAUGUUAGUUAUUUUUAGUUUAUUUAUGAUCAGAAAAAAUAAAAAUGAAAUAUUUUUCAAAAAGCCUCUUUUACUAAUCCAUUUGUGAGUAUGCAAAAUUGUAUAAGUUUUAUAAGGUUUAUACGAGAGACAUGAUACAAGGUUUUAAGUUUUCGGUCGCUAUGAUGAUGAUUAUUAUUUUUGGUUGGCUGACUGGUUUCAAAGCAAUGAAGUCUUUGUGGAGUCGUUUAAAUUUUUCUACUGAAUUGUUUAUACCAGUUAGACUUCCUUUUCUAGUCAAGUCAUGGUAAAAGACUACAACAGCUUUAUUGUAUCUCUGAAGAGGUAACAUCAGAUGAUGAUGGUUAGAUCAAAUUGAUGAAAAUCUCACAAACUAAGAUGGGAAAGACAAUCAUAACUUGAUCAACAAAGACCUCGUAAUGUUCUCUUGAUUCUACUAAUAGUUCUACAUGCUCUAAUUAGAAAGAUCUAAUAAAUGUACAGAUUUUGAAUCAAUAUCAAAAUAUUUUGAUACAUAUGUAUAACCAUUAAGAGUGGUGUCAUUCUAAAGAGAAGUGUUUACCUUUAGUACUAGGUGGGUUAGAUUUCAACAACAGGAUCUAAAUGUUUGAUUGUAAUGUAAUGUUGUCAUGCUAAAUUGAUCAGCAAGGAUCUAUUGUUAUUAUGUUGAUUCUACUACUAAUUUUACAAGUUAUAAUUCGAAUGAUCUAAGAAAUAUUAUAAUACAAAUGUUGAAUCAAUACAAAUUUGAAUCAAUUUCUUCAUUGUACUUCAGUUUUUUUUAGCUUAUUUGAUUUCUGCUUUCACCAAAAACAAAAUAUCUUAAAUUUUUGAAUUUAAUUGCUUGUAUGUCAAGCCUUACACGAAAGUUUUCAAGGGCAACUUUACACUAAAGUCAUAGAAUUUGAGGCAGAGCAAUUUGGAGUCAGUUAAGAGGUUUGGUAACUUCCAAAUAUGUUCUUGAUUUGUUUGACAAGGAUUUGAUCAUGCAAGAAAAUACUAAAUCUGAUUAGCGUAACCGAUUCAACUAAAUCAAGGAGUAUCAAACAAAAUAUUUUUGUAAAGCAUAAGUGAUUCACUUGUCCUCAUCGCUGUCGGAGCCAUACAUGUGACACAAACACUCAAGUCCCUUCACACUCUUCUUUCAGAUUACGCAAAACAGAAGAGAUUUGAAUGGGAUAUUUACGGCAGUGACGUCUCUUCUUCUUCUUCUUCUUCUCAUCAAACGCUUCAUAGUUUUUGUCUUCGUCUUCAUCAAUCCUAGUGAUCCGUUUACCAAAUUUUAUCGACUAAAUGAGCAAUUAUUCCUUAAUGUUCUCUUAUUCUACUCAAAGCCUCAAGCAUUGAGUCUAUAUACUACAAGAAAACAGGCAAACUGCGACUACAACAAUAGUCGCUAUUUCAGAAUGUCGCUCACAGAGUGUACCUCGACAUCACUAAUUUUUUGGAGAAACGCUUUGCCUAGGGUGAAUAAGUUUCUCUAUGAUGUGCCACAUAUCUUCGUUUUAUGUUAUACUAAUGACAAGUUUCUAUGAGUUAUCUCAACUGUCACAUCACUUUUUUUUUUCUUUUUCUUUGAAAGAUCCAAUGGUAUGGAUUCGAUAACUAGCUUUAUCAUUGUUUCUCUCUAUAUUCUUACUUGUCAUUAUGAUCAUGUUGCUUAAUGUUGUCUGUUGUUUAAAAUCAUUGCCAGCUCUUGAUUUUAGUGGCAUUGCCUUCUCUCAAAGCCUGAGCUUUAAGCUAUAUUCACUAGGCCAUCUCUUGUUGGAUGAGUUGUUUCACUAAUUCUCAACAACUUUCCUUCACUACGAUUUUUGUAUGUUUUUGUAAGUAACAAGACAAUAUACUUGUUGUAAACUGAUUCUUUGAUUCAUAUAUACUCUUAAACUUUGAUGUGCUUACUUGCAUACAUGAUAAUAGAUAUAUAUCGACACGGGAAUCUAUCAUUGUCAUGGAACCACACAAGGGAACACAUUUAUCAUUUUAGGAUAGCGUGACUAAAUUUUGAACCAAAAUUAAAGAUUGUGGGCUUGUUCUUUUAACAGUCGAUCGUUCGUUUACAAAAAAGGGAUCGUUCGAAUUUUAAACGACUAUUGGACUAUUGGAGUGACUCUUUUAACAACAACGUCAACAGUUUUUAACAAACUCGGCGACUCUUUCUAAUGAUUUAAUUGGACUCCAAAAUGUUUAUUUUUUAGUCGCAGAUAAUGGUCUUUACGACCACGUAACGAACAUAGCCUAAUAUUCUCUAAUCCUUCUAACAAUUGCUCCAAAACAAAACAAAUUUCUACUGAAAAGACUUGAUGAUUUAGCCAAAUAGAUAAAUAUCUCCACACAUACAUAGACAUUGUUGGAGCGCAAAAAUCUAAUCGAGAAAAAUACGAAUUUUAUUAAUGAGAUCGAUAUCAUAAAGACAUUACAACAACAUAAUUUAAAAGCAUACAUUUAAAACUCGGAGGCAAGAUAUGAUAUCUUUGUCCUUAAUUCAAUAAAUCGGUCGUAAGUGCUUCGUUCUAUCACGAUUUAUGAAUCCCAGGAUACAACCGGUUGCAAACUAUUACUCGAGCACACGAGUAAUAGACUCAAACGAAAUAGAUCUACUAUAUACUCUCGAAACUAUAAAACUAAAAACUUACUUGAAAUAAGCAAGAGAGAAAAGAGGUUUAGAACUGAAAGGUUUAGAUACUUUUCUGUUUUUUGAGUGUGAAAAAUAAUGAGAGCCACCUCCCCUUUAUAUAGUAGUAGGAGUAGAAGAAGAUAGGGCUUCGGGAGAAUAUCCUCGGCAUAUUCUGUAAAUAUGCUAGGCAUAUUCUGCAGAAUAUUCUCGGCAUAUUCUUUUGAGUGCACACCAAACCUUAUCUUAAAUUUGGCUUAAACAAAGCCCAAAAACCUCCAAGAUUGCCUAAAGCCACGAGCCUACAAGCCCAUUAGCCCGCGCCAGGACUGGUUUGGUUUGGUUCGGUUUGGUUCAGGAUUUUUCGCAAAAAAUCAGACCAAGUGGCUCACUUCACACCCUUAUUUCUCAUUCAAUGCAACUCAGUUUUUGACAUAUGAGUAUACCAUUUUGUAGUACUCGUUACCACCUUUCCAUUGCACUAUCAAGCUCACAAUUCCGUUCAGCCGUUUGGCCGGUAUUUGGCCGGAAAGUCGCCGGAAAGUCAUCGUAAAAAAUCUGCAAUUCUUCAGAAACUUCUUUCUGAAAAUUCAGUUCCAACAAUCCCCCACAUUAAUAGAAAUAAGUCUAAACAGAUGACGACUUAACUAAUCCUAUGGACUGACGCGACUAGCUAGACUAGACAGACAGACCUUCGAGAGUAUAUGCGAAAACUAACUGUAUCUGAGUUGUUGGCGUUUUUCAGCUUUGAACCUACUCAUUGUUAAUACCUGUCGAGUUUACUCGGCCAGAUGGUGAACAUGAUGUCUUGAACCAUCCGGAAUUUGAUGUAAACUUAGACAACAUGUCUAACACAGCUUCGUUUUUAGUAGAACUAAGUUCUCUAUUGUGUUCAUUGUGGCCUUGAACUUGCCUGGAUAAUCAUGAGUGAACUUGGAGAGUAUAGCCUCACAUAUUCUCCUAGAAACGGCCCCAUUUCACAUUCACAAGGUGAUUAACUAACUGCUUGUAUUUAAAAGAAGUAUCCUGUAAAUACUUCACUUAUAUUACAAAGCUAGAUUUCAAAUCAUUAAAACCAUAUGCUUAUCCUCUAUACAUACAGGAAGCACUGUACAUCAUUUUAGGAACUGGGAUAAGACAAUUGUCUCUCAGUGCUUUUGGUAGAUUUAGCUUGAUUUAGUUGUCCCUUUGAACCUACGUCAUGGGAUCUCCAAUCUAAGUAGGUGGGGUUACCAUCAAACCUCCUCUCAAGUCGUAAGCUUUAAACCCAUUCCUCUUGAUGAUUUUGAAACUUUAUCUCGUGUCAAACCUUUUGUAAAUGGAUCCGCUAGGUUGUCUUCUGACCUGAUGUAGUCAAUCGUGACUACCCCAGUUGAGAUUAGUUAUCUAAUGGUUUUAUGUCUACGUCGGAUGUGACGAGAUUUACAUUAUAUAGGGUACUCUGUGCCCUGCCUAUAGCUGAUUGGCUAUCACAGUGUACACGUAUUGCAGGCACAGGUUUCCCCCACAUUGGGAUAUCUUCCAAGAAAUUACGAAGCCAUUCAGCCUCUGAUGCAGCUAUUUCCAAAGCUAUGAUUUCUGACUCCAUAGUUGACGAAGCCGCUAGAGUUUGUUUGGAAGAUUUCCAGCUCACGGAUGGUUAGGCCCCUUGUACCACGUAUCCACUUGUGGAUUUUGAGUUUCUGGAGUCUGCGAUCCAGUUGGCGUCAGUGUAUCCUUCCAAAACUGUAGGUUCUUUACCAUAGUGUAAGCCCUGAUCUUUGGUAUAACGUAGAUAGUCUAAGACUCUAGUUAUAGCUUUCCAAUGUUUAUGUCCUGUAUUGCUCGUGUAGCGACUAAGUACAUUUACAAAGUGCGCUAAAUCUGGUCUAGUACAGUUUGUCAAGUACAUAAGACUGCCAAUUACUCUUGCAUACUCCACCUGUUGUACAGGUUCACCAGAAUUUUUGGUCAAGUGAAGUUGAAGAUCCACUGGAGUUUUUGCCUUCCCAUGUGAGUAAUGCUUUAAUCGAUCAAGUAUCUUUUCAGCAUAAUGGGUUUGAGACAAGAUAAUGCCCUCAUCAGUUCUUAUGAUUUUUAUCCCCAAAAUGACGUCUGCAAGACCCAGAUCUUUCAUGUCAAAAUUUCUUUUGAGCAUGUUUUUCGUUAGAUUUACGAUAUCUUUGUUGCUUCCAAUGAUGAGCAUAUCAUCUACAUAUAAACAUAACAAAAUGUACCCCGAAGGAGUAAUUUUGAAGUAUAUGCAUUUGUCGCAUUCAUUAAUGCGAAAGCCAUUAGACAUCAUCACACUGUCAAACUUCUCAUGCCACUGCUUAGGAGCCUGUUUGAGUCCAUACAGUGACUUUACAAGUUUACACACUUUGUGUUCUUGUCCCGGGGUAACAAACCCUUCUGGUUGUUUCAUGUAGAUUUCUUCUUCUAAAUCUCCAUUGAGAAAUGCAGUUUUUACAUCCAUUUGAUGUAUUUCAAGAUCUCGCAAGGCUGCAAUGCCUAUAAGCAUCCUGAUCGAAGUCAUUCUCGUUACCGGAGAAUAGGUAUCAAAGAAAUCUAAGCCUUCUUUUUGCCGAAAUCCUUGCACUACAAGUCUAGCCUUGUACCUAUCAAUAUCACCAUUGGUUUUCCGUUUUAUUGUGAAAAUCCAUUUACUCCCUAAAGGUUUAGAACUUUGGGGUAGAUCUGCCAUCUCGUAAGUGUGAUGUUGCUUGAUAGAGUCCAUUUCAGUAUUGAUUACUUCCUUCCAAUAAGGUGCAUCAGGGGUGGACAUGGCUUCUGAAUAAGUCCUUGGUACAUUUUCAGCUAAAAACGCCAUAAGGAAAUCUUCACCGAAAGAUUUUCCUUUACGAGCUCUUUUGCUCCGUCUCNNNNNNNNNNNNNNNNNNNNNNNNNNNNNNNNNNNNNNNNNNNNNNNNNNNNNNNNNNNNNNNNNNNNNNNNNNNNNNNNNNNNNNNNNNNNNNNNNNNNACCAGCAAUAGUACUUAAAGUACUAUCCUCAGCAUUUGAGGUUGCGGCAUCUCGUUGUUCACGAGAUCGUUUUUGAGUUUUCCUACAGGGGAAAAUGUGUUCAAAAAAUGAUGCAUUUCUUAAUUCCAUAACCGUGUUUACGUGAAUAUCUGAAAUAUCUGAUUUAUAAACCCGAAAUCGAUAAGCACUACUGUUGUGCGCAUAUCCGAUAAAGAUACAGUCUACGGUCUUAGGUCCAAUUGUGACCUUUUUAGGAGGUGGUUGAAAGACCCCAUCCCAGAUAAUCUAAGUCCGGAGAGGUUACUUUCGAACUAAUGACAAACUUUCCAUACUUAACCAAGUUUUAGGGCCCAUUCCUUAGACAAUCAAUUUAUAAUAAUUCUGAGAUUCAUUACUUAAAGUCAUAUACAAAAAGAGAGUAAAAUAACCAUUCAAAUACUUUAUUAAUAAGUAAGGAUUCAAUACAACUUAUGAGUUUGCAUAUAGGCUAUUACAAGUUGUAUAAUCGAUCUAACUACCCAGCAUCCAUCACCACUCAUCUUCCCGGCCUUGAGUCCUCGCGCCUAAGCCCUUUCAUCCCCUCGAUCACCUUCUUUCCCUCAAACCACAUAGGAAAUCAGUAACAUGUUCACUUAAUCACCAUCGUUUUGCAUGCAAGUUACUCUAGCAACUCUGCCCGUUCAAAUGUUCGGUAGAGAGGUAGUCCGCGCAUCAGUUCGGUCGAGUAUCAUCAAUGAUUCCACUCGCCGAGCCGCGUCCCCUUUUCUCCAAACAAUCCUUCCGGACAAAGUUAUGCAUAUGAUCAUGCUCAUGUAACUAUCGAACCCAUAUGCACAACACAACCGAUCUUAUGGUCUCCGGUAUUAACCUUUUAUCGGAUUCCGACUUUCCUUAGUGUUUCUCUCGAAGAUAACUUCAAGAAUAUAAGUAUUUCCCGAUUUUUCCGAACGUGUCCAAAACUGAGGGCGAGACCCACUAUUUAUAGUGUUUCGGCCAAACCCUUCCGUUCGAAAAGGCACCUGUUCGAUGCACCUUUCACUCGCACCGAUUCGCUGGAAUCCUUCCAUUCACACCAUUUCACCGAUAACUGUUCGCUCUUCCUCUGGUCACUGCCCAAUUAGCUCGUUCGGUGAGUGAACAUCACAACUUGUUCGACUACCGUACAGCUGGUCGAGCUUCCAAACAACUGGUCGAGCUGGUGUUACUUCCGGGCAGCUGAGGUCGAGCUGGUACCACUACCCGGCAGCUGGGCGAGUUAGCUUAACUGAUCUUUUCAGCUGGAUUGUUCGAUCAAUACUUCUUCCUUUUCCGUUUUCCUACAUUUCGAGCUGAUGGUCAGCUCCGUUUAGACUUGUUCGAGUUUUCUCCUUCAUUCUCGAACUAAGUCUCGACCAACGAUCCUAUUCGGGAUCGCGGGCGUAACAGUGGUACAACCACUUUUGCUAGACACCCCCACACUUUGAGGUAUUUGUAUGAAGGUACUGUUCCUUUCCAAAGUUCAUGUGGUGAUUUGCCAGUCACCUUAUGCGGUAUCCUGUUGAGGAAAUAAUUAGUGGUAAGCAAAGCUUCCCCCCACAUGUUCUGGGCUAACCCAGAUUCCUGCAACAACGCAUUCAUCAUUUCUUUCAGAGUUCGAUUCUUUCGUUCCGCAACUCCGUUAGAUUCUAGUGAGUUAGGAGCGGUCGUUUGAUGUAUAAUGCCUUUUUCUCUUCAAAAUGCAUUGAACGGUUCAUUAUAUUCUCCACCUCUAUCACUUCGAACUACUUUUAUAGUUCUCUGCAUAUGGUUUUCUACUUCGAGUGUAAACUCUUUGAAUUUUUCCAGUGCUUGAUCUUUACUAUGUAACAAAUAUACAUAGCAAUAUCGUGUGCAGUCAUCUAUGAAGGUAACAAAGUAUUUCUUACCGCCUCUAGUUGGCACAUAUUUUAAAUCACAUAAGUCUGUGUGAAUUAAACCUAGAGGUUCGGUUGUUCUUUCAACUCGAGGUGAGGGAGUUUUAGUGAGUUUGGCCUGUACGCAUACUUCACAUUUUUCUUGGUUAGUUUUGAAUUUUGGAAUUAAAUUCAAAUUCUGCAUUUUUCGCAUUGUUUUAUAAUUGACAUGUCCUAAUCGUUCAUGCCAAGUAGUAAACGACUCAACCAAGUUAGCAAUAGGGUUUUUAUUCAUUUCAGCAACAGAAGCAGAUGCUACAAUUUUCGGAUAGACUGUCGCUACAGACAUUUUGAUCAGUCCACCCUUAACAAAACCCUUUCCCAGAUACACCCCAUUCUUCUUAAGAACUAGCUUAUUAGACUCAAAAUUAAUGGAAAAACGAUUCUUGCUUAGCACCGUUCCAGAGAUGAGAUUCUUCCGCAUGUCAGGUACGUGCUUUACGUUCAUCAGAGUCAGCUCACGAUCAGAAGUCAGCUUCAGGACUACUUUGCCCUUUCCUUCAAUCUUGGACACCGGUGUGUUGCCCAUGAAAAGUUGCUCACUUGACUUGUUCUUCAUGUAGGUGGAGAACAUGGUCUUGUCAGAGCAGAUGUGUGUGGUAGCAACAGUAUCAUAGUACAACUCCACAUGAUUGUCUUGCACCAUGUUACAUUCAGUGACCACCGCAACCAUGUCUUCUUCAGUUAGGUUUGCCUGGCUCUUGAUAUCCCUGGCUUUGAUUUUGCAAACUUCAGCCUUGUGCCCAAUCUUUCCACAAUGAUGACACUUGCCUUUGAACUUCCUCUCAGGGUUGCUCUUCUUGAAGUUCGUUGUGGACGACACCUUCAAAUCUUUUUGAGGAUUAGACACCCCUUUACCCUUGCCUUUCAGCUUGGCCUUAUGCUCAGCUACAUUGACAUCAUGCCCCUGGUUUUGAGCACCUGGAUGAACCCCACGAUUGUUGCCCUCAAUCCUCAACCUGCGGAUAAAAUCAGACCAAGUGGCUCACUUCACACCCUUAUUUCUCAUUCAAUUCAACUCAGUUUUUAACAUAUGAGUAUACCAUUUUGUAUUACUCGUUACCACCUUUCCAUUGCACUAUCAAGCUCACAAUUCCGUUCAGCCGUUUGGCCGGAAUUUGGCCAGAAAGUCGCCAGAAAGUCAUCGUCAAAAAUCUGCAAUUCUUCAGAAACUUAUUUCUGAAAAUUCAGUUCCAACAAUCCCCCACAUUAAUAGAAAUAAGUCUAAACAGAUGACGACUUAACUAACCCUAUGGACUGACGCGACUAGCUAGACUAGACAGACAGACNNNNNNNNNNNNNNNNNNNNNNNNNNNNNNNNNNNNNNNNNNNNNNNNNNNNNNNNNNNNNNNNNNNNNNNNNNNNNNNNNNNNNNNNNNNNNNNNNNNNGUUUACUCGGCCAGAUGGUGAACAUGAUGUCUUGAACCAUCCGGACUUUGAUGUAAACUUAGACAACAGGUCUAACACAGCUUCGUUUUCUAGUAGAACUAAGUUCUCUAUUGUGUUCAUUGUGGCCUUGAACUUGCCUGGAUAAUCAUGAGUUAACUUGGAGAGUAUAGCCUCACAUAUUCUCCUAGAAACGGCCCCAUUUCACACUCACAAGGUGAUUAACUAACUGCUUGUAUUUAAAGAAAUAUCCUGUAAGUACUUCNNNNNNNNNNNNNNNNNNNNNNNNNNNNNNNNNNNNNNNNNNNNNNNNNNNNNNNNNNNNNNNNNNNNNNNNNNNNNNNNNNNNNNNNNNNNNNNNNNNNNNNNNNNNNNNNNNNNNNNNNNNNNNNNNNNNNNNNNNNNNNNNNNNNNNNNNNNNNNNNNNNNNNNNNNNNNNNNNNNNNNNNNNNNNNNNNNNNNNNNNNNNNNNNNNNNNNNNNNNNNNNNNNNNNNNNCCUCUUGAUGAUUUUGAAACUUUAUCUCGUGUCAAACCUUUUGUAAAUGGAUCCGCUAGGUUGUCUUCUGACCUGAUGUAGUCAAUCGUGACUACCCUAGUUGAGAUUAGUUGUCUAAUGGUUUUAUGUCUAUGUCGGAUGUGACGAGAUUUACCAUUAUAUAGGGUACUUUGUGCCCUGCCUAUAGCUGAUUGGCUAUCACAGUGUACACGUAUUGCAGGCACAGGUUUCCCCCACAUUGGGAUAUCUUCCAAGAAAUUACGAAGCCAUUCAGCCUCUGAUGCAGCUAUUUCCAAAGCUAUGAAUUCUGACUCCAUAGUUGACGAAGCCGCUAGAGUUUGUUUGGAAGAUUUCCAGGACACUGCAGCACCUCCAAGUGUAAACACGUAUCCACUUGUGGAUUUUGAGUUUCUGGAGUCUGCGAUCCAGUUGGCGUCAGUGUAUCCUUCCAGUACUACAGAUUCUUUACCAUAGUGUAAGCCCUGAUCUUUGGUAUAACGUAGAUAGUCUAAGACUCUAGUUAUAGCUUUCCAAUGUUUAUGUCCUGGAUUGCUCGUGUAGCGACUAAGUACAUUUACAGAGUGCGCUAAAUCUGGUCUAGUACAGUUUGUCAAGUACAUAAGACUGCCAAUUACUCUUGCAUACUCCACAUGUUGUACAGGUUCACCAGAAUUUUUAGUCAAGUGAAGUUGAAGAUCCACUGGAGUUUUUGCCUUCCCAUGUGAGUAAUGCUUGAAUCGAUCAAGUAUCUUUUCAGCAUAAUGGGUUUGAGACAGGAUAAUGCCCUCAUCAGUUCUUAUGAUUUUUAUCCCCAAAAUGACGUCUGCAAGACCCAAAUCUUUCAUGUCAAAAUUUCUUUUGAGCAUGUUUUUCGUUUGAUUUACGAUGUCUUUGUUGCUUCCAAUGAUGAGCAUAUCAUCUACAUAUAAACAUAACAAAAUGUACCCCGAAAGAGUAAUUUUGAAGUAUAUGCAUUUGUCGCAUUCAUUAAUGCGAAAGCCAUUAGACAUCAUCACACUGUCAAACUUCUCAUGCCACUGCUUAGGAGCCUGUUUGAGUCCAUACAGUGACUUUACAAGUUUACACACUUUGUGUUCUUGUCCCGGGGUAACAAACCCUUCUGGUUGUUUCAUGUAGAUUUCUUCUUCUAAAUCUCCAUUGAGAAAUGCAGUUUUUACAUCCAUUUGAUGUAUUUCAAGAUCUCGCAAGGCUGCAAUGCCUAUAAGCAUCCUGAUCGAAGUCAUUCUCGUUACCGGAGAAUAGGUAUCAAAGAAAUCUAAGCCUUCUUUUUGCCGAAAUCCUUGCACUACAAGUCUAGCCUUGUACCUAUCAAUAUCACCAUUGGUUUUCCGUUUUAUUGUGAAAAUCCAUUUACUCCCUAAAGGUUUAGAACUUUGGGGUAGAUCUGCCAUCUCGUAAGUGUGAUGUUGCUUGAUAGAGUCCAUUUCAGUAUUGAUUACUUCCUUCCAAUAAGGUGCAUCAGGGGUGGACAUGGCUUCUGAAUAAGUCCUUGGUACAUUUUCAGCUAAAAACGCCAUAAGGAAAUCUUCACCGAAAGAUUUUCCUUUACGAGCUCUUUUGCUCCGUCUCGGUUCUUCUUCAGGUUCUGGUUCUGUUUCACCAGCAAUAGUACUUAAAGUACUAUCCUCAGCAUUUGAGGUUGCGGCAUCUCGUUGUUCACGAGAUCGUUUUUGAGUUUUCCUACAGGGGAAAAUGUGUUCAAAAAAUGAUGCAUUUCUUGAUUCCAUAACCGUGUUUACGUGAAUAUAUGAAAUAUCUGAUUUAUAAACCAGAAAUCGAUAAGCACUACUGUUGUGCGCAUAUCCGAUAAUGAUACAGUCUACGGUCUUAGGUCAAAUUGUGACCUUUNNNNNNNNNNNNNNNNNNNNNNNNNNNNNNNNNNNNNNNNNNNNNNNNNNNNNNNNNNNNNNNNNNNNNNNNNNNNNNNNNNNNNNNNNNNNNNNNNNNNUGCUAGACACCCCCACACUUUGAGGUAUUUGUACGAAGGUACUGUUCCUUUCCAAAGUUCAUGUGGUGAUUUGCCAGUCACCUUAUGCGGUAUCCUGUUGAGUAUGUGGUGGCCGGGACCCCCCCCCCCCCCCGCAUGUUCUGGGCUAACCCAGAUUCCUGCAACAACGCAUUCAUCAUUUCUUUCAGAGUUUGAUUCUUUCGUUCCGCAACUCCGUUAGAUUCUGGUGAGUAAGGAGCGGUCGUUUGAUGUAUAAUGCCUUUUUCUCUACAAAAUGCAUUGAACGUCUCAUUAUAUUCUCCACCUCUAUCACUUCGAACUACUUUUAUAGUUCUCUGCAGCUGGUUUUCUACUUCGAGUGUAAACUCUUUGAAUUUUUCCAGUGCUUGAUCUUUACUAUGUAACAAAUAUACAUAGCAAUAUCGUGUGCAAUCCUCUAUGAAGGUAACAAAGUAUUUCUUACCGCCUCUAGUUUGCACAUAUUUUAAAUCACAUAAGUCUGUGUGAAUUAAACCUAUAGGUUCGGUUGUUCUUUCAACUCGAGGUGAGGGAGUUUUAGUGAGUUUGGCCUGUACACAUACUUCACAUUUUUCUUGGUUAGUUUUGAAUUUUGGAAUUAAAUUCAAAUUCUGCAUUUUUCGCAUUGUUUUAUAAUUGACAUGUCUUAAGCGUUCAUGCCAAGUAGUAAACGACUCAACCAAGUAAGCAAUAGGGUUUUUAUUCAUUUCAGCAACAGAAGCAGAUGCUACAAUUUUCGGAUUGACUGUCGCUACAGACAUUUUGAUCAGUCCACCCUUAACAAAACCCUUUCCCAGAUACACCCCAUUAUUCUUAAGAACUAGCUUAUCAGACUCAAAAUUAAUGGAAAUACAAUUCUUGCUUAGCGCCGUUCCGGAGAUGAGAUUCUUCCGCAUGUCAGGUACGUGCUUCACGUUCAUCAGAGUCAGCUCACGAUCAGAAGUUAGCUUCAGAACUACUUUGCCCUUUCCUUCAAUCUUGGACACCGCUGUGUUGCCCAUGAAAAGUUGCUCACUUGACUUGUUCUUCACGUAGGUGGAGAACAUGGUCUUGUCAGAGCAGAUGUGUGUGGUAGCACCAGUAUCAUAGUACCACUCCACUAGAUUAUCUUCCACCAUGUUACAUUCAGUGACCACUGCAACCAUGUCUUCUUCAGUUAGGUUUGCCUGGCUCUUGAUAUCUCUGGCUUUGCUUUUGCAAACUUCAGCCUUGUGCCCAAUCUUUCCACAAUGAUGACACUUGCCUUUGAUGAAGUUCGUUGUGGACGACACCUUCAAAGCUUUUUGAGGAUUAGACACCCCUUUACCCUUGCCUUUCAGCUUGGCCUUAUGCUCAGCUACAUUGACAUCAUGCCCCUGGUUUUGAGCACCUGGAUGAACCCCACGAUUGUUGCCCUCAAUCCUCAACCUGCGGAUAAGAUUAUCAAGAGACAAUGCCUUACGUUUAAAGUUAAGGUAAUUCUUGAAAUCCGACCAGCCUGGUGGCAACUUCUCGAUCAAGCUAUUCGUCUUGUAGACAUUACAGAUCGACAUCCCUUCCAACUCUAUCUCUUGACAGAUGCGUUGGAAAGCCUCCACUUGCUCCAUAAUAGGUUUGGAGUCCACCAUCUUGAAGUUCAGAAACUUCCCAGUUGAGAAUUUCUGCAUUCCAGACUCAUCAGUCUUGUACUUGUUCUCCAAAGCCAACCACAAUGCUUUUAAAGUCUUGUACAUGCUAUAGAGGUCGAACAGGUCAUUGUACAUGCUAUAGGCGGUUCAGAAUCUGACCUUUGCACAAAAAAUCCCCUUCGUGCCAGUUAUCGAUACUUCCAGCCACAUACACAUAUGUGUUGUUUACCGGACGUAUCGGUGGAUCCUCAGUGAGGUACCUAUCGAUGUGCAUGCUGGCCAAAUAGUAGCGCAUCUUGUCUUGCCACGUCUUGCAUCAAAUUUGUCUGGCAUCAUCCCUUGAGAUGCAGAGGGGGGUAUCCCUUUCUGGGUUGGCUCCUUACCGAACAGAUUUCGGCGCACGGUUUCCCGAUCGGAAUCGCUCAGCGUCGUGCUUUCUAGUUCUUUUGCAAGACGUAAAGCCAUGUCAGCAGGAGUAAUAUGAUCUCCCUAGGAUAGAACUUCAAUGAAGGCUGAAGAUAGGUGAUAGGCGACGUGAGUUUGUCGAUGAUGAUGGGCGAUGAACGUGAGUGAUGAUAUGAGAAGAUUGAAUGAUGAAACAAUGGUUUGAUGGAGAUAGAUGUUUAGGUGGUUGUAUGGAUUGUAACAAUGAAGAGUUUCUGAAUCACAAAGUGUAUAGAAACUCGGAAAUCUAGAACGCAUUCAAGAAUUUGAAUUGAGAGAAAAAGUGUGACAAUACUUGUUCAUACAACUUCUUCGCUAAAGAGAAAAGAGGCGUAGCUUUGGGUUUUAAAUACCCUAGGGCACGACACUCCAAACAACAAGAAGUUCAAAACCAAAACAACAAUACGUUUUAAGGAAAUAAUAAAAACAGCAAGAUUUCCCGACGUCCUGUAGUAGUACAUAAGUCGGCUGAACUAGUACAGAAGCUUGACGACCUGUAGUAGUACAGAAGUACAUUAUUCCCCUUUGGUAAUGAUUUCUAGCUAACUCGACGUAGUGAUCCAUUUUCCUCAUUAAAAACCAUGCUGAGAAAACCCAUUGGGACAAAACUCAGCUAUGGGAAAAAGAGUACAAACUUCUCACCUAAGUUACCUAGUCCUCAUCACCGGGUGAAGUCUUCAGGUUAGAUAUGUUGAAGACUUGGAUCCUUGGUAGGUUGAAUGACCCGUCAGCUAUGAAUGCGUGUGCUUCCUUGGCCAUCUCCUUAGCUCUUGAACGAGUGAUCCUUCCCACCAUCUCCGGUUUCUCUGUAGCCUCUUGUUCCGUGCUAGCCACGAUCAUAUCAAGGAGUAUCAGGAGCCUUGGUAACAUCAACGUUGGUAUCGGAUCCAGACAUUCUGUUAACAAUAAACAUACAUGAUUAGUAUAUUAAUCAAAAUAAUUCUGGUAACUAAAUUACCCUGAAUUAGUUUUGCAAGCUCGCUCAGAAAGCGUUUGCAGAACCUUACGUUUCACAAACUCACUCACACAAGAGCGUUCGUGGAAACCCGAAAGGUUACGUUCUAGAGAACUGUCCACAACAAUCGCUAAAGAGCGUUUGUGAAGCAGUUAGAGGGGGUAGAAAAGAAGUUGUAAAUAAACAAAAACGUUCUUCUAUAAACUUUCCGCGUAAGCACCGCAAGAUGACUGCAGAAACAGUUAUAAGAAGAUUUUGAAAUCGUUUUUUUAAAAAAAAUUCGAAGAAUUCUCAAUCCGUUUAAAGCGAUAAGCAGAAAGCGGAUUUAUUGAAUUAAGAUUGUAGGAGCGCAAAAAUCGAAUGGAGAAAAAUACGAAUUUUAUUAAUGAGAACGAUAUCAUAGGGACAUUACAACAACAUAAUUUAAAAGCAUAAAUUUAAAACCCGGAGGCAAGAUAUGAUAUCUUUGUCCUUAAUUCAAUAAAUCGGCCGUAAGUGCUUCGGUCUAUCACGAUUUAUGAAUCCCAGGAUACAACCGGUUGCGAACUAUUACUCGAGCACACGAGUAAUAGACUCAAACAAACUAGAUCUACUAUAUACUCUCGAAACUAUAAAACUAAGAACUUACUUGAAAUAAGCAAGAG
rnacentral:lncRNA from 1 species